rnacentral:lncRNA from 1 species
CUAAGGACUUGUUUCCGGCUCAAGAUGUCCAAGAAGAAGGACCCCGCAGAGACGAGGCCCCUACUGGGAAAGUCUCCAAGGGGACGGUGGGAGCCAAUGAGCGUCUAGUCCCGCCCAGUCAGCUUCCGGCUUCUACAACCCAGGGACAGGCAAACUUCACUAUGUUCCUGCUGUUCGGUUCUCUCUUUAUCGAUUUCCUGAUCUGGCUGAAGGGCUUUAAAUCACCGCUCAGAUGCUGACGCCACUCAAAAAGCAGCUUGAUAAUGAACUGUCACAAUUUCUACAUACAGUAGUGUUUCGUCUGUAGAAACCCAUACUUCAUUUUGAUUUCGAUUUCUCUAAACGAAUGACUACUCUAUUAAACCAAAUAGAUCAAAUCAAGUGUAACUUAUCAAAAUGGCAAUCAAGAAAAAAAAACUAUUGAAAAGGAAGAAACCAUCUACUUAUAAGACUCAAAAAAACCUGUUUUAAAGCAAACUAUUUUGCACCUAAUUUUUUAAAGCUUCCAUUCCUUUUAAGUAUGUAUGCCACAAUGAUUAUCUUCGUGUAUUCAAUUAUAUGCUAUUUUUAAAUAUUAAAGUGUCUGAAGACACAAGAAAGCUCU